rnacentral:ncRNA from 1 species
UUAGCUAUUUUAGAUAGUUUGUACUUAUCCAUCGAUAGGUACAAACAGCAAAGAACUUUGCUUUGUAUCUAUGAUGGCUAGAGCACUUGCUGUUGCAGCCGCGUAGACGAUACUCUAAGUGGCUAUGUAACAGGACCCUAUUCUCUUGAUCCUUAACGUCCAUUUAGACUGUCGUC